rnacentral:rRNA from 1 species
CACUAUCGUUAACUGAAUACAUAGGUUAACGAGGCGAACCGGGGGAACUGAAACAUCUAAGUACCCCGAGGAAAAGAAAUCAACCGAGAUUCCCCCAGUAGCGGCGAGCGAACGGGGAGCAGCCCAGAGUCUGAAUCAGCUUGUGUGUUAGUGGAACGGUCUGGAAAGUCCGACGGUACAGGGUGAUAGUCCCGUACACCAAAAUGCACAGGCUGUGAACUCGAAGAGUAGGGCGGGACACGUGGUAUCCUGUCUGAAUAUGGGGGGACCAUCCUCCAAGGCUAAAUACUCCUGACUGACCGAUAGUGAACCAGUACCGUGAGGGAAAGGCGAAAAGAACCCCGGCGAGGGGAGUGAAAAAGAACCUGAAACCGUGUACGUACAAGCAGUGGGAGCACCUUCGGGUGUGACUGCGUACCUUUUGUAUAAUGGGUCAGCGACUUAUAUUCUGUAGCAAGGUUAACCGUAUAGGGGAGCCGCAGGGAAACCGAGUCUUAACUGGGCGUUAAGUUGCAGGGUAUAGACCCGAAACCCGGUGAUCUAGCCAUGGGCAGGUUGAAGGUUGGGUAACACUAACUGGAGGACCGAACCGACUAAUGUUGAAAAAUUAGCGGAUGACUUGUGGCUGGGGGUGAAAGGCCAAUCAAACCGGGAGAUAGCUGGUUCUCCCCGAAAGCUAUUUAGGUAGCGCCUCGUGAACUCAUCUUCGGGGGUAGAGCACUGUUUCGGCUAGGGGGUCAUCCCGACUUACCAACCCGAUGCAAACUACGAAUACCGAAGAAUGUUAUCACGGGAGACACACGGCGGGUGCUAACGUCCGUCGUGAAGAGGGAAACAACCCAGACCGCCAGCUAAGGUCCCAAAGUCAUGGUUAAGUGGGAAACGAUGUGGGAAGGCACAGACAGCCAGGAUGUUGGCUUAGAAGCAGCCAUCAUUUAAAGAAAGCGUAAUAGCUCACUGGUCGAGUCGGCCUGCGCGGAAGAUGUAACGGGGCUAAACCAUGCACCGAAGCUGCGGCAGCGACACUAUGUGUUGUUGGGUAGGGGAGCGUUCUGUAAGCCUGCGAAGGUGACCUGUGAGGGUUGCUGGAGGUAUCAGAAGUGCGAAUGCUGACAUAAGUAACGAUAAAGCGGGUGAAAAGCCCGCUCGCCGGAAGACCAAGGGUUCCUGUCCAACGUUAAUCGGGGCAGGGUGAGUCGACCCCUAAGGCGAGGCCGAAAGGCGUAGUCGAUGGGAAACAGGUUAAUAUUCCUGUACUUGGUGUUACUGCGAAGGGGGGACGGAGAAGGCUAUGUUAGCCGGGCGACGGUUGUCCCGGUUUAAGCAUGUAGGCUGGUUGUCCAGGCAAAUCCGGAUAAUCAAGGCUGAGGUGUGAUGACGAGGUACUACGGUGCUGAAGUAACAAAUGCCCUGCUUCCAGGAAAAGCCUCUAAGCAUCAGGUAACAUCAAAUCGUACCCCAAACCGACACAGGUGGUCAGGUAGAGAAUACCAAGGCGCUUGAGAGAACUCGGGUGAAGGAACUAGGCAAAAUGGUGCCGUAACUUCGGGAGAAGGCACGCUGGUGUGUAGGUGAAGUCCCUGCGGAUGGAGCUGAGACCAGUCGAAGAUACCAGCUGGCUGCAACUGUUUAUUAAAAACACAGCACUGUGCAAACACGAAAGUGGACGUAUACGGUGUGACGCCUGCCCGGUGCCGGAAGGUUAAUUGAUGGGGUUAUCCGUAAGGAGAAGCUCUUGAUCGAAGCCCCGGUAAACGGCGGCCGUAACUAUAACGGUCCUAAGGUAGCGAAAUUCCUUGUCGGGUAAGUUCCGACCUGCACGAAUGGCGUAAUGAUGGCCAGGCUGUCUCCACCCGAGACUCAGUGAAAUUGAACUCGCUGUGAAGAUGCAGUGUACCCGCGGCAAGACGGAAAGACCCCGUGAACCUUUACUAUAGCUUGACACUGAACAUUGAGCCUUGAUGUGUAGGAUAGGUGGGAGGCUUUGAAGCGUGGACGCCAGUCUGCGUGGAGCCAACCUUGAAAUACCACCCUUUAAUGUUUGAUGUUCUAACGUUGGCCCCUGACCGGGGUUGCGGACAGUGUCUGGUGGGUAGUUUGACUGGGGCGGUCUCCUCCCAAAGCGUAACGGAGGAGCACGAAGGUUAGCUAAUCCUGGUCGGACAUCAGGAGGUUAGUGCAAUGGCAUAAGCUAGCUUGACUGCGAGCGUGACGGCGCGAGCAGGUGCGAAAGCAGGUCAUAGUGAUCCGGUGGUUCUGAAUGGAAGGGCCAUCGCUCAACGGAUAAAAGGUACUCCGGGGAUAACAGGCUGAUACCGCCCAAGAGUUCAUAUCGACGGCGGUGUUUGGCACCUCGAUGUCGGCUCAUCACAUCCUGGGGCUGAAGUAGGUCCCAAGGGUAUGGCUGUUCGCCAUUUAAAGUGGUACGCGAGCUGGGUUUAGAACGUCGUGAGACAGUUCGGUCCCUAUCUGCCGUGGGCGCUGGAGAAUUGAGGGGGGCUGCUCCUAGUACGAGAGGACCGGAGUGGACGCAUCACUGGUGUUCGGGUUGUCAUGCCAAUGGCACUGCCCGGUAGCUAAAUGCGGAAGAGAUAAGUGCUGAAAGCAUCUAAGCACGAAACUUGCCCCGAGAUGAGUUCUCCCUGAGACUUUAAGUCUCCUGAAGGAACGUU